GACGAACGCUGGCGGCGUGCUUAACACAUGCAAGUCGAACGGAAAGGCCCUGCUUUUGUGGGGUGCUCGAGUGGCGAACGGGUGCGUAACACGUGAGUAACCUGCCCUUGACUUUGGGAUAACUUCAGGAAACUGGGGCUAAUACAGGAUAGGAGCUCCUGCUGCAUGGAGGGCGUUGGAACGUUUCGGCGGUUGGGGUUGGACUCGCGGCUGAUGAGCUUGUUGGUGGGGUAGUGGCUGACCAAGGCUUUGACGGAUCGGCGGCCUGUGAGCGUGACCGGCCACGUGGGGACUGAGAGACGGCGCAGACUGCUACGGGGGGCAGUAGGGGGGAAUAUGGCCCAAUGGGCGGAAGCCGGAUGCAGCAACGUCGGGGUCGUGAUGACGGCUUUCGGGGUAAGAACCGCUUUCGCCUGUGACGAAGCGGGAGUGACGGUAAUGGGUAAAGAAGCACCGGCUAACUACGUG
rnacentral:rRNA from 1 species